UAGAUCAGUUGGCAGAGCAUGGCGCUUGCAAUGCCAAAGUUGUGGGUUCAAUUUCCAC
rnacentral:tRNA from 1 species